AGGUUUUUCUAUGUUGUGUCUCCCCAGCUGUCCAUUGUUUCAAGUAAAGCUUACAAAAUCAUGUCCCAGCCCUGACUAGAUAAAGAGUGACUUGCCUCUCAUUUUGUGCAUGUUCUAGUGUACACAUUUAUUGCCUACAUCUGGGCACAGAUGUUAUUCUGCUGAGAAGUUCCAAGGAAAAUUACAUGCAGGUUCGUUUCCUAACACUAGAGCUCUUAAUGAGAUAUUCCAAAAUAUCUACCCAGAAUUCAGUGAAUUUUGAGGCUGAGAAUUGGGACAACAGACAGAAGACAACAAAACUAAAGUGAAAGCAACUUGGCGUCCUAUUUGAUUGUUUGCUCAACCCCAGCUGAAAAUCUUGCCACCUCUCCUACCAUCUGUCACCCAGGGCCCAAAUAAUGCCCACUGUUGUAGGGUGCUUAGCUUCUAAGAAGUUCUGAGAAACACUUGAUCUCUAAAGUACACAAGAUCAUAACUCCAAAAAAA